rnacentral:rRNA from 1 species
CUACGGGCGGCUGCAGUCGCGAAAACUUUUCAAUGCACGAAAGUGUGAAAAGGGAACCCCAAGUGCUUUGCUUUUUAAGUAAGGCUUUUGUUAAGUGUAAGUAGCUUAACGAAUAAGUGGUGGGUAAGACUGGUGCCAGCCGCCGCGGUAACACCAGCGCCACAAGUGGUGACCAUGAUUAUUGGGUCUAAAGCAUUCGUAGCUAGUUUAUUAACUCUCUUGUGAAAUCGUUGGGCUUAACUCAACUACGUGCAAGAAAAACUGAUAAACUUGAGACCGGAAGAAGAUAAGAGAAUUCCAAGGGGAGCGGUAAAAUGUUAUAAUCCUUGGAAGACUACCAAUGGCGAAAGCACUUAUCUAGGACGGCUCUGACAGUGAGGAAUGAAAGCCAAGGGAGCAAAACGGAUUAGAUACCCCAGUAGUC